rnacentral:rRNA from 1 species
CAUGCAAGUGGAGCGACGAACCAGGCUUCGGCCUGGGGCAGAGCCGCGAACGGGUGAGUAACACGUGGGUAACCUGCCUCGAUGACCGGGACAACCCGGGGAAACCCGGGCUAAUACCGGAUGUGUUCUCUUCACAUCAGUGGAGAGAGGAAAGGAAGCUUCGGCCUCCGCAUCGAGAUGGGCCCGCGGCCCAUUAGCUUGUUGGUGAGGUAAUGGCUCACCAAGGCUGCGAUGGGUAGCUGGUCUGAGAGGACGAUCAGCCACACUGGGACUGAGACACGGCCCAGACUCCUACGGGAGGCAGCAGUGGGGAAUCUUGCGCAAUGCGCGAAAGCCUGAUGCAGCGACGCCGCGUGAGGGAUGACGGCCUUCGGGUUGUAAACCUCUUUCAGCAGGGACGAAGCGCAAGUGACGGUACCUGCAGAAGAAGCACCGGCUAACUACGUGCCAGCAGCCGCGGUAAUACGUAGGGUGCGAGCGUUGUCCGGAAUUAUUGGGCGUAAAGAGCUCGUAGGCGGUUUGUCGCGUCGGCCGUGAAAACUUGGGGCUUAACCCCAAGCUUGCGGUCGAUACGGGCAGACUUGAGUUCGGCAGGGGAGACUGGAAUUCCUGGUGUAGCGGUGGAAUGCGCAGAUAUCANGAGGAACACCGAUGGCG